rnacentral:rRNA from 1 species
GUCUGCAGCCAGCCCAUCGUCUGUUGUGAUCCAGUUAGAGCUCAAAGCUAAGCAGGGCCCAGCCUGGCCAUUGCUAGGAUGGGAGAUGUAAGGGGACAAAUGGGUGCUGCAGAAA